rnacentral:rRNA from 1 species
GCUCAUCACAUCCUGGGGCUGAAGUAGGUCCCAAGGGUAUGGCUGUUCGCCAUUUAAAGUGGUACGCGAGCUGGGUUUAGAACGUCGUGAGACAGUUCGGUCCCUAUCUGCCGUGGGCGCUGGAGAAUUGAGGGGGGCUGCUCCUAGUACGAGAGGACCGGAGUGGACGCAUCACUGGUGUUCGGGUUGUCAUGCCAAUGGCACUGCCCGGUAGCUAAAUGCGGAAGAGAUAAGUGCUGAAAGCAUCUAAGCACG